rnacentral:rRNA from 1 species
CGCUCUUUGGGGAAAAUUAAGAGUAAGGUCUGCCCAAUGAGAUAAUUGAAUGGCCGCGGUAUUUUGACCGUGCGAAGGUAGCAUAAUCAUUAGUCUAUUAAUUGUAGGCUGGUAUGAAAGGCUAGAUGGGGAAAAGCUGUCUUUUUAGUAAAAUGAAUUUUAGUUUUAUGUGAAGACGCAUAGAUUAAAUUAGGGGACGAGAAGACCCUAUUAAGCUUUAUAUUUAAACUCUAAAUAGGGUAGUUAGAGGGAAGUAUUAUGUUGGGGCGACAGUAGAAUAAACAUCUAUUAUUUAUUAAAUAACUUAAUUAGAUUGUGAUUGAUCCAAAAAUUUUGAUUGUAAGAAUAAGUUACUAUAGGGAUAACAGCGUAAUCUUGUCGGAGAGUUCAUAUUGAUGACAAGGAUUGCGACCUCGAUGUUGAAUUAGGAUACCCGGGGGGUGCAGCAGUUCCUAAGGGUGGUCUGUUCGACCAUUAAAAUCCUACA